GGGUCCAUAGUUUAGUGGUAAAAUUUCGGUCUCCAAAACCGAAGUCCUCCGUUCGAGUCGGAGUGGGCCCG
rfam:Parcubacteria bacterium GW2011_GWD2_42_14 TT98_C0044, whole genome shotgun sequence.